AAUCGUGACUCGGGUUACCGCGGCUGCUGGCACGGAGUUAGCCGGUGCUUCUUCUGUGAGUGAUGUCCUUCCUGCCGGCUAUUAACCCGCAGGCCUUCUUCCUCACUGAAAGUGCUUUACAACCCGAAGGCCUUCUUCACACACGCGGCAUGGCUGGAUCAGGGUUGCCCCCAUUGUCCAACUAUUCCCACCUGCUGCCUCCCGUAGGAGUCUGGCCGUGUCUCAGUCCCACGUGUGGCUGAUCAUCCUCUCAGACCAGCUACGGAUCGUCGCCUUGGUGAGCCGUUACCUCACCAACCAGCUAAUCCGACAUAGGCUCAUCCGAUAGCGCGAGGCCCGAAGGUCCCCCGGCUUUCCCCGUACGGGCGUAUGCGGUAUUAGCCUGGGUUUCCCCACGGUUAUCCCCACUACCGGGCAGAUUCCUAUGCAUUACUCACCCGUCCGCCGCUCGCCACCAGGGAGCAAGCUCCCCGUGCUGCCGCUCGACUUGCAUGUGUUAGGCCUGCCGCCAGCGUUCAAU
rnacentral:rRNA from 1 species